GUGGCGGUAGCUGAGUUGGUAAAGCUCCAGACUGUGGAUCUGGUGAUCGCGAGUUCAAAUCUCGCUCGUCACU
rnacentral:tRNA from 1 species